UCUGACAACCCUAGAGAUAGGGCUUCUCCUUCGGGAGCAGAGUGACAGGUGGUGCAUGGUUGUCGUCAGCUCGUGUCGUGAGAUGUUGGGUUAAGUCCCGCAACGAGCGCAACCCUUGAUCUUAGUUACCAUCAUUAAGUUGGGCACUCUAAGGUGACUGCCGGUGACAAACCGGAGGAAGGUGGGGAUGACGUCAAAUCAUCAUGCCCCUUAUGACCUGGGCUACACACGUGCUACAAUGGACGGUACAAAGAGCUGCAAGACCGCGAGGUGGAGCUAAUCUCAUAAAACCGUUCUCAGUUCGGAUUGUAGGCUGCAACUCGCCUACAUGAAGCUGGAAUCGCUAGUAAUCGCGGAUCAGCAUGCCGCGGUGAAUACGUUCCCGGGCCUUGUACACACCGCCCGUCACACCACGAGAGUUUGUAACACCCGAAGUCGGUGGGGUAACCUUUUUGGAGCCAGCCGCCUAAGGUGGGACAGAUGAUUGGGGUGAAGUCGUAACAAGGUAGCCGUAUCGGAAGGUGCGGCUGGAUCACCUCCUUUCUAUGGA
rnacentral:rRNA from 1 species